rnacentral:rRNA from 1 species
CCCUUAGAUGUUCUGGGCCGCACGCGUGCUACACUGAGUGGAUCAGCGGGUCAGGUUGCGCGAAAGCGUUUCCUAAUCUUUAAAUCCGCUCGUGAUGGGGAUUGACGGUUGCAAUUUUCUGUCAUGAACGAGGAAUACCUUGUAAGCGCGGGUCAUCAUCCCGCGCUGAAUAGGUCCCUGCCCUUUGUACACACCGCCCGUCGCUCCUACCGAUUGAGUGGUCCGGUGAGGCUUUGGGAUCUGAGCGGAAAGAGCGUUUCGCUGUUUCUGCUCGGAAAACUCAGUCGAACCUUAUCAUUUAGAGGAAGGAGAAGUCGUAACA